UACGGAGGGUGCGAGCGUUGUCCGGAAUCACUGGGCGUAAAGGGCGCGUAGGCGGCGCGGAUAGUCGGCGGUGAAAGCCCGGAGCUCAACUCCGGGUCGGCCGUCGAUACUUCCGGGCUUGAGCACUGUAGAGGCAGAUGGAAUUCCGGGUGUAGCGGUGGAAUGCGUAGAGAUCCGGAAGAACACCGGUGGCGAAGGCGGUCUGCUGGGCAGUUUCUGACACUGAUGCGCGACAGCGUGGGGAGCAAACAGG
rnacentral:rRNA from 1 species